rnacentral:rRNA from 1 species
AGCAGCCGCGGUAAUUCCAGCUCCAAUAGCGUAUAUUAAAGUUGUUGCAGUUAAAAGCUCGUAGUUGAAUUUCGGGAUCAAUACGUCGGUCGUGCUUCGGUACGUACUGGCGUCAUUGAUUUCUCCCUUCUGACGAACCAUGAUGUCAUUAAUUUGGUGUUAUGGGAAAUCAGGACUGUUACUUUGAAAAAAUUAGAGUGUUUAAAGCAGGCUCACGCUUGAAUACAUUAGCAUGGAAUAAUGAAAUAGGACGUUCGAUCCUAUUUUGUUGGUUUUAGGAUCAACGUAAUGAUUAAUAGGGAUAGUUGGGGGCAUUAGUAUUCAAUUGUCAGAGGUGAAAUUCUUGGAUUUAUUGAAGACUAACUACUGCGAAAGCAUUUGCCAAGGAUGUUUUCAUUAAUCAAGAACGAAAGUUAGGGGAUCGAAGACGAUCAGAUACCGUCGUAGUCUUAACCAUAAACUAUGCCGACUAGGGAUCGGAUGAUGUUAAUUUUUAAUGACUCAUUCGGCGCCUUAAC